rnacentral:lncRNA from 10 species
CAGAAAUCAAAAGUCAGCAUCACUUUCUGGCCAAACCAAAGGAACAACUAAGAUAAAAAGUGAAAGUUGAGGACUCUACAGUCAGUUAUUUCAACAUCACCGUGAGAUGAUUUUCUUAUAGACUUUCUAAAUUUCAAUGCCUUAGCCACUGCCAUCCAACUUCUAUGCAAAGAUAUGUCUUGGCUGGCUUCUACUGAAGUGAAAGACUUAUAGGACCUACUAUAAUCCUAUCCAGAGAGGAGAAAUGGCUUACAGGAGGCAACUACAUUCAUGAUGUAUGACUGUCAAAAGUGGGAGGUAAACUGAAGAAGAAGGAGAAGGAAGAGGAGAAGGGGAUGAGGGAUAAGAAGGAAAAAGAAGAAAGAGGAAGAGAAGGAGGGAAGGAGAAGAAGAGAAUAAGAGGAAGCAACAGCAGCAGCAACAAAACAGGAAAUAUAUAUGAGAGCAGCUUUCUCUCAGCUUCCAACAAUGAGAGGACAAAUUGCGGGAGACAAGAUUAGCUCUGGCAAAUAUGACAAAG